ACGAACGCUGGCGGCGUGCUUAACACAUGCAAGUCGAACGGAAAGGCCCCUUUGGGGGUACUCGAGUGGCGAACGGGUGAGUAACACGUGAGUAACCUGCCCUUGACUUCGGGAUAACUUCAGGAAACUGGGGCUAAUACCGGAUAGGAAUCCUUGCUGCAUGGUGGGGGUUGGAAAGCUUCGGCGGUUUUGGGUGGACUCGCGGCUUAUCAGCUUGUUGGUGGGGUAGUGGCUUACCAAGGCUUUGACGGGUAGCCGGCCUGAGAGGGCGACCGGCCACAUUGGGACUGAGAUACGGCCCAGACUCCUACGGGAGGCAGCAGUGGGGAAUAUUGCACAAUGGGCGGAAGCCUGAUGCAGCAACGCCGCGUGCGGGAUGACGGCCUUCGGGUUGUAAACCGCUUUCAGCAGGGGCGAAGCUUGUGGUGACGGUACCUGCAGAAGAAGCACCGGCUAACUACGUG
rnacentral:rRNA from 1 species